UACGUAGGGGGCGAGCGUUGUCCGGAGUACUGGGCGUAAAGCGUGCGCAGGCGGUGAUGUAAGACAGUUGUGAAAUCCCCGGGCUCAACCUGGGAACUGGCAUCUGUGACUGCAUCGCUGGAGUGCGGCAGAGGGGGAGUGGAAUUCCGCGUGAGCAGUGAAAUGCGUAGAUAUGCGGAGGAACACCGAUGGCGAAGGCAAUCCCCCUGGGCCUGCACUGACGCUCAUGCACGAAAGCGUGGGGAGCAAACAGG
rnacentral:rRNA from 1 species